UUGACCUCGGAUCAGGUAGGGAUACCCGCUGAACUUAAGCAUAUCAAUAAGCGGAGGAAAAGAAACCAACAGGGAUUGCCCUAGUAACGGCGAGUGAAGCGGCAAUAGCUCAAAUUUGAAAUCUGGCUCUCCUUUUGGGGGGUCCGAGUUGUAAUUUGUAGAGGGUGCUUCGGCGUUGGCCUUGGUCUAAGUUCUUUGGAACAGGACGUCAUAGAGGGUGAGAACCCCGUACGUGGCCAUUGGUCUUCGCCAUGUGAAGCCCCUUCGACGAGUCGAGUUGUUUGGGAAUGCAGCUCUAAAUGGGAGGUAUAUUUCUUCUAAAGCUAAAUACUGGCCAGAGACCGAUAGCGCACAAGUAGAGUGAUCGAAAGAUGAAAAGCACUUUGGAAAGAGAGUUAAAAAGCACGUGAAAUUGUUGAAAGGGAAGCGCUUGCAACCAGACUUGGCCGCAGUUGCUCAUCUAGGCGUUUUCGCCUGGUGCACUCUUCUGCGGGCAGGCCAGUAUCAGUUCGGGCGGCUGGACAAAGACGCCGGGAAUGUAGCUCUCCUCGGAGAGUGUUAUAGCCCGGCGUGUAAUACAGCCAGCCUGGACUGAGGUCCGCGCUUCGGCUAGGAUACUGGCGUAAUGGUUGUAAGCGGCCCGUCUUGAAACACGGACCAAGGAGUCUAACAUCUAUGCGAGUGUUUGGGUGUCAAGCCCGGGCGCGUAAUGAAAGUGAACGGAGGUAGGAACCUUUUUGUAAGGCGCACUAUCGACCGAUCCUGAUGUCUUCGGAUGGAUUUGAGUAAGAGCAUAGCUGUUGGGACCCGAAAGAUGGUGAACUAUGCCUGAAUAGGGUGAAGUCAGAGGAAACUCUGAUGGAGGCUCGCAGCGGUUCUGACGUGCAAAUCGAUCGUCAAAUUUGGGCAUAGGGGCGAAAGACUAAUCGAAC
rnacentral:rRNA from 1 species